GGGUCUGUGGUCUAGGGGUAUGACACUCCCUUAGCAACAUCCAAAACUGCUCUAGAUCGUCUAGAAUAGUCUCUGAUAGCGCUCCUCGAAUGGGAGAGGUCCCGGGUUCAAUUCCCGGCGGAUCCA